AAUACAUAAGUUACUAAGGGCUUAUGGUGGAUGCCUUGGCACUAGAAGGCGAUGAAGGACGUGCAAACCUGCGAAAUGCUACGGGGAGCUGGUUGGAAGCGAUAAUCCGUAGAUGUCCGAAUGGGGGAACCUGAUUAAUAGUGAUAUUAAUCAUUUAGAUCUGAAUACAUAGGGUCUAAAAGCAAUACGUUGUGAAGUGAAACAUCUCAGUAGCAACAGGAAAAGAAAUCGAAAGAGAUUCCGUGUGUAGUGGCGAGCGAAAGCGGAACAGGCCAAACCAAGAUUUAUCUUGGGGUUAUAGGACUGCAAUGUGGACUUUGAACUGAUAGGAGAAGUAGUUGAAAAGCUACGCGAUAAAGGGUUAUAGCCCCGUAUCUUAAAUUGGUUUAAUACCUAGCAGGAUCCUGAGUACAUCGAGAAACGUUAUCUUGAUGGAAGUCGCCCAGACCAUUGGGCAAGCCUAAAUACUAACUAGUGACCGAUAGCGUAUAGUACCGUGAGGGAAAGGUGAAAAGAACCCAGGGAUGGGAGUGAAA
rnacentral:rRNA from 1 species